CAGGUGGGUGAGGAGAGUAUCCUAAGGCCAGCGAGAGAACUGUUGUUAAGGAACUCGGCAAAAUGACCCCGUAACUUAGGGAUAAGGGGUGCCACCAUCAGGUGGCCGCAGAGAAUAGGCCCAAGCGACUGUUUACCAAAAACAUAGGUUUCUGCUAAGUCGCAAGACGAUGUAUAGGAGCUGACGCCUGCCCGGUGCUGGAAGGUUAAGGGGAUCUGUUAGAGCAAUCGAAGCAGUGAACUUAAGCCCCAGUAAACGGCGGCCGUAACUAUAACGGUCCUAAGGUAGCGAAAUUCCUUGUCGGGUAAGUUCCGACCCGCACGAAAGGCGUAACGAUUUGGGCACUGUCUCAACAACAGACUCGGUGAAAUUGUAAUUCCGGUGAAGAUGCCGGAUACCUGCGACAGGACGGAAAGACCCCAUGGAGCUUUACUGUAGCUUGACAUUGGGUCUUGGUACUACAUGUACAGGAUAGGUGGGAGGCUUUGAAACCAGGACGCCAGUUUUGGCGGAGCCAUCCUUGGGAUACCACCCUUGUAGUACUGGGACUCUAACCAUAGGCCAUGAAUCUGGUCUUGGGACACUGUCAGGUGGGCAGUUUGACUGGGGCGGUCGCCUCCCAAAAGGUAACGG
rnacentral:rRNA from 1 species